rnacentral:rRNA from 1 species
GACGAACGCUGGCGGCGCGCUUAACACAUGCAAGUCGAACGGGCAGCUUCGGCUGUCAGUGGCGAACGGGUGCGUAACACGUAAGCGACCUGCCUUCAGGUGGGGGAUAACCCCGGGAAACCGGGGCUAAUACCGCAUGAGCUCCCUGGGCUGCAUGGCUUGGGGAGGAAAGCUCCUGCAAGGGAGCGCUUGAAGAGGGGCUUGCGGCGUAUCAGCUAGUUGGCGAGGUAACGGCUCACCAAGGCGACGA